GUUUGAUCCUGGCUCAGAUUGAACGCUGGCGGCAUGCUUUACACAUGCAAGUCGAACGGCAGCACGGGGGCAACCCUGGUGGCGAGUGGCGAACGGGUGAGUAAUGUAUCGGAACAUGUCCGGAAGUGGGGGAUAACGUAGCGAAAGUUACGCUAAUACCGCAUAUGCCCUGAGGGGGAAAGGAGGGGAUCGCAAGACCUUUCGCUUUCGGAGUGGCCGAUAUCAGAUUAGCUAGUUGGUGAGGUAAAGGCUCACCAAGGCGACGAUCUGUAGCUGGUCUGAGAGGACGACCAGCCACACUGGGACUGAGACACGGCCCAGACUCCUACGGGAGGCAGCAGUGGGGAAUUUUGGACAAUGGGGGCAACCCUGAUCCAGCCAUGCCGCGUGAGUGAAGAAGG
rnacentral:rRNA from 1 species